AACGAACGCUGGCGGCAGGCCUAACACAUGCAAGUCGAACGCCGUAGCAAUACGGAGUGGCAGACGGGUGAGUAACGCGUGGGAACAUGCCCUUCGGUUCGGAAUAACUCAGGGAAACUUGAGCUAAUACCGGAUACGUCCAAGGCUUGCCUUGGAGAAAGAUUUAUCGCCGGAGGAUUGGCCCGCGUCUGAUUAGCUAGUUGGUGGGGUAAUGGCUCACCAAGGCGACGAUCAGUAGCUGGUCUGAGAGGAUGAUCAGCCACAUUGGGGCUGAGACACGGCCCAAACUCCUACGGGAGGCAGCAGUGGGGAAUAUUGGACAAUGGGCGCAAGCUUGAUCCAGCCAUGCCGCGUGAGUGAUGAAGGCCCUAGGGUUGUAAAGCUCUUUUGCCCGGGAAGAUAAUGACGGUACCGGGAGAAUAAGCCCCGGCUAACUUCGUGCCAGCAGCCGCUGUAACAC
rnacentral:rRNA from 1 species